ACAGAAUUUAAGCUGACAAAGCCACAGAUGACUAAUUUAAGACGUACUUUGCAAAAAAUGCCUUUUAACUAUGAAAAAGCCUUUAUAGCUUUAAUAAAAAUGCCUUCAGGCUUACAGAGUUAGUCUCUGCAGCUGCCAUAAACAGGGUUUUGUUAAACUUGGCUGUACUGUUUCAAACUGCUGGAUGAUGGCAGGUUUAAGAACAGCUGAUGAGCUCCGUAUGGUGGUACCAGAACGACUAUUACAAUUACUUCCUACUGCAACCUCUGCAAAAAUGCAGCAGUAUUUCAGCUUUUAGAUCCUUCUUUUCGUUAAAUUGGAGUUGUUCCCUCAGUAGUAUGGGGCAAAUAAUUUGUAUUUUCCUGAAAUAAGCUCCAUGUGAUGAAUAUACAUGACAAAGGACAUAAAAGUUCACAAAGGAAAGAAAGCGUUUUUCACAUUUAGCAUUUUAUCAGGCAUCUGGAGGCCUAAGGUUUUGGGAGGAAGGUUAAGGUUUGCUUCACAAGGUAUAAACUCAGGCCCGAUCACAAUGAGGUUAGAGGUUAUUCCCAUCUCCUGGCAGUUGGGGCUGACCAGCUGCCAGAUCAGCUAGCAGAAACAAAGCAGGUAAAAAAUCAAAAUUAAAAAAAAAAAAAUAUAUAUAUAUAUAAAGAGGCUGGAGAAACUAAAAUGCCUUGCUCCUGCCUCAAAAUCCCAGCUCAGGCUCUGCCACGUUUGUGGUAGGAGAGGACAACCUUGGUCAACAGUCAAGAUGAGCGAGAAGAUUUUGGGAAGCCUGGAGGAAGCCCAUGAAUCCAUAUCCGUGUGUCUUACCUUUAAAGAUUAAUUUAAGCCUAAAAAGACCACAGCUGAACAGUCAUCCCCUGCCUUUUCUGAAGCUAUUUUAAGACUAAAAACACCUGAAGGAAGUUGUUCUCCAGCUUUUGAAGGGAACAGUUCAAUUAACGGCUCAGCAACACUUCAGCUGCACUGUGAGAUGUCCCCUAGAUGAAACUGAUGACGAUCAAACAAAUCUAUUUUGAUUUUCCUCAUUGUUCUACACAUGGAGCAUCUAAAUCUUUUUGUUAAAAGCCAUCACAGAGACUUUUCUGGAUUCUGCCCUCUCUCAAAGCACUUCAAUAACCUUUUCAUAGUAUCAGAAAAAUCGGUACUCCAUUGCUAGAAACGCAUCAAAAUAACACCUCUUCUAACCAGGAAAGCAUGGACAAGAGGAGGAAAAGAACAGUUAAUCCAUUGUCACCAAGAAACUUGUAAUACCAGCUUCCCUCACUUUCCAAACCAACAUUUUUUCCAAGAGGAUGAACUGAAUUUAAACAGAAACUUGAAAUCUAUAUGCAGUUCAUAAAAUACAAAAGGAGCAUUUUUUUUUUAAGUCACUCCUUGCAAUACAGAAUCUCAACCCAGCUAUGAUGCAUCUUUGCAGCACUGCACUGAAGUUUCCCUUCUGGGAACAUUAGCCUUGGCAAUGACAUCUAAAAAAACCAAACAAGGAGACUCUCAGAUAACUUGUUACUGGAACAUUUUCAUUUUUGCUCCUUUUAAAGCAGACAUCUAAGCCAUUUCUGAAUUAUGAAUGAGGAACUUCUCCGUUAACAGCUGUUUUCCUUACCUCUAGCAAAUUCUGUACUACUGAAACUCAGUAGCAGAGCUCAGAAAAAUCUCUUGACACUUGUAACGGCUGCACCACCUUGUAACACCAGCUCCAAACUGCACCAGCUGACGAUGCUGUCCAGCUCCUUACUCAAAAAGGAAACGUCACUUGUCAGUAAUUGCUAUUUAUUUAUUCAAUAUCUGCAUGUGAGUUAUUUUUGCAAAUCAUUUUAGAAAUACUGCCAAAUGCCUUUUAUUCUUUACGCACAGCACAUUACAGUUGCUAUUAGCGUAGUCAUAAAAAUAAUAUGUCAAGUUACUAGGACACCGAUAACAUGCAACACCAUACAUGAAAGGCGUGCUGUUCCAGAGCAGAUAGAUGAGAAGUAAGCAAUUAUGAGCCAUUCUGUUACACCCAAUGGUAUUAGAAGCAGGAUUCCCAACCUCCAGUAAAAAAAAAAAAGUUUCCUGUAGUUCAGUUUUGUUUUAUUGCUUAAAUUUUUCAUAGAUGCAUAAAAUCUGCUGGGCAAUAUUCACUAGGUUGUAUAAAUACAGGACAAUUACAUCUGAUGGCCGGAAGCAUUUCAGACUAAACCCACCCAACUAAUACCAUGCGUACUGACUUCAGAGAAGCUGAGACUACUCGGGGGCUUGAAGAUGUGCAUCAUUUUUAUUUGUGAUAGCUGAGAGCAUUAAGAAACAUUUGCCAUUGACAAAAAUUAAACAAAGCACAAAUCCUACUGCCUUUAGAAUAACGAAGAGGGUAAAUAUAUAAUGGCUUAUUUACUCUAAAGGUUGCAGGCCGACUGACUGACGAAAGCAUGGUUUUUUCCCCAGAAGACCAAGGACUUAAUGGCAAUGAAGUUGUCCUUCAGCAGAUACAUAAAGUAUAAUUAACGAUUUAUUAUGCAAUGAAAAAGCCAAGACUUUACUGCUGGCGCAGACCCUGGCUGCACCCAAGGCUGCGCUGGGUCUGCCCGCGCAACAUUCAGACCUCAAGCUGUAACGCUGCGCAGCUCUGCGCUUGGGGAGCAGCGUUUCAGACCUGACCUCCUCUUUACCUUAGUCAAGUACCUAAAAGGCACGACCUCAGUUGUGUAUUUCACCUUAUGUUUCUAUGCUUUUAAUGAAAAAAUAAAAGCAUGUAAGGGAGAAGUAGUAACACAGCAAGAAAAGGCAGUACUUUUAUGAAAUCCUCAUUCCCCUCCCCUUGAUUAUUAACAAUUAUUAACAUCAUCUUUGGUUUUCCUCACACGCAAGGCUUGGGAACACAUGAAACACAGAUGCUCCAACCGACAUUCGUUACUUUGACCACGCUAAACGUGUUGCCAUCUUCAAAGUCUUUUGCAACUCUGUUCUUUCAUUUUCAAGGAAGGAACUUGCAUUUUUGGCCGUGAGAAACCCUCUCUUCUGGAGUCCUCUCAUUUGCCUACCACUGCUGUGGGCUUGUGAUUUCUUUACCUACCUUCCCUCAGGGUGCACCUACUGCAUUCCCACCCCUAAGCUCAUCUCUGGAGAUCUCUAUCUCGAGGUGACCCGUCAGAUGUGCUCCCAUUACACCAGGUCAGACAGCUCACCCUAGGACAAGAGCACACAGCAUCUUGCUGACUCAUGAUAAAUUAUUACAGCAAGCAGCAGCUCACCAUGUACGACACAAGUGGAACAAGAGAUGGAAAUGCAUUUGCCAAGUAAUACAGGCCAUCAGAGUAAAGAACUAGAAGCUCAUGUUUUGCUGGAAUAAGGCCUCCUGACCACCAAAGCCUGAGCCCACGCAUCCCUAGCGAGCAGCGCUCUCCCUUUGGGCACCGAGUAUUUAUUAGGCACUGCAGCUCCGAUGCACCUGAGCUUCCAGGGUCUGACAAGACCGAGCUCCUCAGCUUUCCCACUUCUGGGUGCGAUGUUCACCUCCUCUUUACAUGCACUCCAUCAGAGCACGUAACAGUGCUAAUUUCAGCUUUCUAAGUGACUAACUCCUACUUCAAAAGUCACUUUUGGGAGGUUGAACGCAUGAAGUGGCCCCGUAACCAAGAGCUCUAUUCCCAUACAACCAGUAACAUGUAGCAUAACAGCAGGAUAUAGAAAGAUUCUCACCUCUGACAAUCCAACACUGGCAAACAUCUGAAAAUAACAUUUGGAGGCCACAACAUACGCAAAACGCGAAGCUUUGCCCUUCAGGUCAGGGUAUGAGGAGCAUUGCACUAAUGCAGAUUGUUCUAGUUAUUCUUGAAGAUCUGCUGCUGAGACCAGCAUACUUGCCAACAGUCUUUCACGAAUGCCGGCGCCUUUCCAGCAUCGCAGGCACCCCGCAGCAUCAGCCAGCACUCCUCAGGACUGCGUUCCUAUGAUCGCUCUGAACAAGGAAAAGGAUUUUUCACUUACCCUGUGAAGUCCCUUGAUGGACCAACUCCAUCAGGAUCAGACUCCCCUUUGGAGAAAAAUGUCAACCAGCAGAUAACUCACCUUCAACACCAAGUCUUUCCUCCUCCCUCCCUUUCAAGUCCUCCAUGGAUACAGAAACCAAAGCGUAUGCCAUGUGAGAAUAUAAAUCAAAUUGUAUGUUUAAAAUGGAUUUUAAUUUACGUACAGCAGUUACCAUUCGUGAAUGUUACACAGUCCCUGCAAUUACAUUCUUUGUAAGCAUUGCCUAACAGGGCAGCGAGGCAACCUCGACAGUCCCUAAAACACCUUAAAUCAAGCAUGCAAGAUAAAGGUUUUAUUCAUGCCAACAUGCAGAAUACACCACCCAAGAUAAGUAGCUAUCAGGGGAACUUUUCAUACAAAAGAUUAAGUAGUCACCACAAUGAACACCUUCAUGAAAAACAAGGCUGGAACUGGACUCAGUAAUUCCAAGGGGCUCUGUAACACGUUCACCUGUGGAAAGCUCUUCAAAGCUGAAGGCUUCCAAUGUCAGCACUUCAUUAUGACUACCACUUCAGAGAGCAAAACUGAGAUCUACAGCUUAAAAUACACAUGAUGUCAAUUCUAACUUGGCAAACUGUCAACGUUGACUAGAAAACUGUACCAGCAGUCUUAAAAUGUAUGUUAUGACACCUUCCAGCAGGAUACGGCCACACUGGAAAAUAAUACUGAUGUUUGAUCAACACUGAAUUCUUAUUUUGGAAGUCCUUUUCAAGUAUACAGCCAGUGAGGCCCUCAUCAACCUGAAUUCUAUCAACAUUUUCCAUUGGAUGGUUGAAGACAAAGGCUUGAUGGAGAGAUGGUCUCAAUUAAGUCUCAAAACUCCUCUGUACUCCUGUAUGCCUCAAAGUCUCAGAAAACAUGUUUAAACAGACCUCAGAAAUCUUUAAAUUUCACCUGCUGAAACAAGAUCAAUGAAAUAGAAUGCACAAACCCAUUUACAGGAAGCUCUGGCUGUAGGGACAGGUAGAAUGAAGACUUAAGGACAUCCCAGACUCCCCAAAGGGGUCUGAUAUGAAGGGCUGCCCUAUUUAUUAAGGCUUUCGCUUUCCUUUCUUCAAUUGCUUAUCCAUAGAGUAUCUAUAGCCAAAGGGCCAGGUCAACAGCUGUCUUAAUAUGAAAUCUAAAAUGCUCUUUAGGAUUCCUUACACAAAUUAUUUCCGUGACAGGUUCCCCCUCAAUGUCACGUAUCAAUACCUCAAGCUCCUUGAAAACAGAGAGAUGUUGGUUAAAUCAGGUAAGACCUACUGGGGAGUGAGGGAAGUGGACGAAGCUGGGGGAAGUCAAGGCUAAAGGUAAAGCAGUAUUUUGCUACGCUGACAGUAUAGCAGAGAGGACAUGGCCACCAACGUCACCUGCUUUUUGACAAAAACCAAAGCAAAGAACCAGAAUGAAGGCUGCAGAUAUUUUAAGCUCCUGGACUCAGUUGAACGGCAGACAAGGAUACUGGUACCUGCUGAGAGUGCUUAGUGUUGCAUUUCAGUACUGAAGACCUCAAUGGCAACCUCAACCACCCGUCCUGCCACUUAGAGAAUAAUUGGUUUUUCUUCUCUUAUCACCAAAUCUUGUGUAGCUGUAUCCAACAGGCCAGAAUUUUAAGGAGAAUUCAAGAAAUUUCCAACUCAGCACCCUCAAGUUUAACAUGUUCUUUCAAGAACUUCGGGUAACUGUGACAAAUUAUCACAGGUCAGAAUCCUUUAACCUCUGUACAUAGAAUAUACAGUAAUUCUAAUAUGAACCACAAGCCUUCUGCUUAAGGUGAAUGGCACUUAAAUGUACCUCGAAAAAUAAAAAAAGAAUUGCUAAAGCAGCCAUUUCACUCUUUUGCAUUACUGAAAUGUCUACUGAAACACUCGCUGCCUACCAAAGUUCCAGCUGACAAGUUACCAAAGAUCGGUUAAUGCAGUGAAGGAUGUUUAAUACUUGUCACAUUUCUCUAGGAUGGAAGUCCUUGGAUUGGUGUGAGACAGCUCCCAAGAAUUAUCAAAGAAUCAAAUCCUACCAAGGUGGCUUAAGUAUCUAGACAACCAUUCUAUGCACAGUACAGAAAUGGAGAGGACAAAACCUAUCCACUAGGUUUGCUACUGAAUAUAGGAGUCACAGCACUGAAUUUGGUCUUCCCUUGCAAGAAAUUUCAGACAUUAAAAUAUAAGGAAAUAGAAAGAAUUAAUUACUGCUGUAGGCAAACAUACACCUUAAUAAUUGGAGUUACACAUCAGCAAUUGUUAAGAAAUCUUUUGGGGUUUUACUUUUGACUUUAUUAUCAAAAAUUUCAAUUAGUAGCAUUCUCCAAAAGCAACUCUUGAUUCCUAAUUAAACCUGCCAAGAGCAGUUCCACAGCAGUAAAUUUAAACGCAUACAUUUCGCUUUUAAUACUAUUAAAGUGAUAUUUGCUAUUUUAGUCCAGUAGCUUUAGCAGCAUGAGCAACAACAGCAAAUGUAAGGAAAAGGUAUCUGGUAU